rnacentral:rRNA from 1 species
UACGUAGGGUGCGAGCGUUUGUCCGGAAUUAUUGGGCGUAAAGAGCUUGUAGGCGGUUUGUCGCGUCUGCUGUGAAAAUCCGGGGCUCAACCCGGACUUGCAGUGGGUACGGGCAGACUAGAGUGUGGUAGGGGAGACGUGGAAUUCCGUGGUGUAGCGUGAAAUGCGCAGGAUAUCAGGAGGAACACCGGUGGCGAAGGCGGGUCUCUGGGCAACAACUGACGCUGAGGAGCGAAAGCGUGGGGAGCGAACAGG